rnacentral:lncRNA from 1 species
CGUUUCUAUGCUAAGGGAAUUCUUGUCCCCCGUGAUGAGGACAGUUCACAUUUGGAGCCCAGCUUCUCCUGCGGAGGGGGUAGGGAACAGAGUGGGGCUUCAUUUUCUCACAAAAGGCACAAUGUGAGGCACAUCUGUGAACACGGCCCAGCAAAGAAACCGGUCUCCAGAAACUGAAAGGGGAGUAAAUUUUUCUUUAAAAAUUAGAUACAGAUUAUCGCUUCAAAAUGCAGGAGGGAAUUUUACAAGUGAUGGUGUGCCGAUUAGCUUUGCAAUGAACAUCCAGCCCUUUAUAGAAACGCAUACUAGCGGUGGUCAGCUGUGACAAAUGUGGUUUAUUACUCCCCAAACUGAACUACCCAUCUAAUGUAAAUGAGGAAUGUUGGGUGAACUUGAACUGCUUGGACAUGAAUGACCAGAGAAUUUAUUUGAUGAGACAUUAAAGGCUAACUAUGGGAACUGUCCCUUUGAUGGUCUGGUAUAAUCAGUUCUUUAGUUCAUUAGCAUGUCUUUCAUAAUUUCUGUUAUUAUUCUUUUCUGGUUAUCGAAUGGCAACCUCAACGAAAAGACCAAAAAAAAGUUUAUCUACAAUAGUUCAAAAAUAAUAGCAACCUUACCUUUAUUGAAAGAGUGUUUGAAGGUCUUCCAGCCCAGCUCACUCCCGGGAGCAGUGCAGAUCCACAAAUCCUGGACUCCUCAGAACCAGAGUCAAGAGGAACCAGUUUCUCACCCUGUCUGGCCUAAGACUUGCCGGAAGCUGGCAAGCGAUAAUGUCUCCAAGACGUUUGCAAACUGGCCAUUCAGCCUUGAGAUUGGUGCAGGUGGACCUGCGAGAGCCCGCGCGCGCGCGCCCGGGCGCUAGCGCGCCUUUGCGCACUUUCACUUUCUCAAGCCCUUCAGAAACCCUUGAGGAUGAAACCCUGGGGACUUGCCAAAACCUUUCUCGGACCCAGGGGCCUACCCCAGUGCCUAGGGGUGAGAAGGAAUGGCAUUCAAUAAUGAUAACAUUUGGACCCCUAAGUUUGUUAACUCAUCCUCCAACCUCGGGUGUUUAGUCUCUUAGGCAAAGUCAACUUGCUUCUGCCUGGCUUCUAGUCUAAAAAAGCCCUUGAACAUGAACCGGAAAGAGGAAAUGGGGGCUUUGUAUUUCCUGUGGGAAGGUGAGCUCUGCCCUCAUUUCUGCAUAGGGCUCUUUAGGGGCACCCUAAAGGCA